UUCUCCUUAUUGGUCAAUCUUUUAAAAACCGGGAUUACCAUUUGUGACCAUUGAUUGUUUUUGAUCGUGUGGCCUAAGAUCAAUCUUCUGCAUCUCUGUCUUUCCAUCUCUCUCUCACUCACGGCUCAAUCUUCUCCAUCUCUCUCUCCCUCUCUCAUGAUUCAAUCUAUCCUUUGAAUCGUUAAACCUAAAAUCACAAAGCCUUCAGAAACGCACAGAGAUUGAAUCUAAUCCACCUUUUACGAUUCAACCUGUCUGGAUACAACACUUUCUUCUCCAUCUCUCUCUCUCUCUUUCACUCGGCCAUGAUGAAAGCUUCGUCGACAACACUUGACUCGAGUCAGAUUCGAACCACAAACAGAGAUGGCGGAGCAGCGCCGGUGGCAAGGCGGAAGACGGCUGUUCAUAAAAAGAUGGGGAGAAGAAGCUUCGAUGGUGACCUUGUGAGUUCACGACAAUGGUGGUCACAGAUGCUGAAGGUCCUUUUGUUGGGGAGAUUACUUGUGGAACUUUACUGCAAAAUUUGCAGAUAAAUCUCUCAACCAUAACUUUCUUUCUUACAAACAUUGCAAGGUGUUUAUUAAUUCUUGUGUGGUGUGGAUUUUUUUUACAACAGAAAUCUUGGAUGAAGCUGGUGAAAGUGAUGAGAGAGUGUCUUGUUUACAAGAGAAAUUUGAACAGGCUGCCAAGUCCCGAGCCGAGCUUCUUCAGAUCUUGUCUGAUGCUAGUGCUUAACUUUCGAGAAAGAGAGGUACAAAAACUUUAGCUGUGACAUCUCAAGCCAUGGAGAUGAUGUAAGAGAACAUAGGCUUAAGGAGAUGGCAGAUAAAGCUAGUGGUGGUGGUGGUGUAGGUGAAGCCGAACAAGAAGAGAAGAAAGAGACGUAGAGCUGUAGAUUUUGGUUUAUUAGGUUUUGUUUAAAUUUUUUAGUUAUUAAAUUUUUGGUUUAUUUAAGUUUGGUUAUGUUUUUUUUUGGUUUAAUGUAUAAACUGAUUUUAUUUGUAAACAAAUUUUAAUUAAUGAAUAAAAUUUAAUUUUUAAAA